rnacentral:rRNA from 1 species
UGUCGUGAGGCAUGCUGGAGGUAUCAGAAGUGCGAAUGCUGACAUAAGUAACGAUAAAGCGGGUGAAAAGCCCGCUCGCCGGAAGACCAAGGGUUCCUGUCCAACGUUAAUCGGGGCAGGGUGAGUCGACCCCUAAGGCGAGGCCGAAAGGCGUAGUCGAUGGGAAACGGGUUAAUAUUCCCGUACUUGGUGUUACUGCGAAGGGGGGACGGAGAAGGCUAUGUUGGCCGGGCGACGGUUGUCCCGGUUUAAGCGUGUAGGCUGGUUUUCCAGGCAAAUCCGGAAAAUCAAGGCUGAGGCGUGAUGACGAGGCACUACGGUGCUGAAGCAACAAAUGCCCUGCUUCCAGGAAAAGCCUCUAAGCAUCAGGUAACAUCAAAUCGUACCCCAAACCGACACAGGUGGUCAGGUAGAGAAUACCAAGGCGCUUGAGAGAACUCGGGUGAAGGAACUAGGCAAAAUGGUGCCGUAACUUCGGGAGAAGGCACGCUGACACGUAGGUGAAGUGAUUUACUCAU